UUUCACUCUCUGCCGCGGGGUCAGCCCAGGCCUGCCGCGCACAGCCGGCAAGGGGGCGCUCGCGUCCCGCAGAACCGCGCCCUCGGCUUCCCUUUGGUUUUCUGGAAAGGCACGGGAAUCUGCUUAUUUACAUCCGCGAUGCGGUCCGCUGGUCUUGGAAGACAAAGUGACAAAUAUUUAAUUAGACGGUUAGAUGAAGCUGGACAGGAUCACAUGUCUUUUGACCUCUGUUGCCUGUGCAACUCUCACCUCAUCCCAAUGCAGACAUGUAGGAAGGAGGAGGCUCGCAGAGGACAGACACAGAAAAAAAUCACCUGCGAAGGAACUCAUCCGAGAGCAACCCACAAUGUCUGUUGUGCACUACAAUUCAAUGUGCUGAACAAAACCUACAAGGUAUAGGGGAAACAUGCAGAAAGGAUGUUUUGUGAUACCAAAAUGUUUGAGAGAAAACCACAGGUUUUUGAGAGACCUUCAAAAUGGACAACUGAAAUAUUUUCCAAAUCUAAAAAUGCAUUGAGAACAUUCUCUAACAUUUGCAGACGAUCUUAGAAGCCAUCAGGAAAUCUAUAAGGAAGUUUUCUAGCAUUGUAGCAGCUGCAAAGGAGAAUUUUAGUAAAAGAUUUUUACAGUUCUAUGAUGUGGAGAAAAGUCUGUUUUCUUACAUCUCCGAAGUUGAAGAACUUGAUCUCUUCUGCUUACACUGUUGAGGUUUUGGAAUCUGGAAAUGGAGCUAUAGGAAUUUAAGAAAGCUGCAUCUGGAAAAUAAACUUUAUGACCUGUGCACAAUGCUUGAGAAGAUGGAGUGAUGGAAGGGCAAGGUCAGCACAGCUGGUAGCUCUGAAAAUGAAAUCCUUAAGGUGUGGGAUUCUCUGUUCAAUAAUUUUAAGUCAAUGAAAGCACUUGGGAUUGCUCUUCUCACUUUGUUUGCAUCGCCUUAUGCUGUGAGCAGCUGUUUUCUACUUAGAAUUGUAUCAGAUCUGAUACAAGAAACAGACUGACAGAGGACCUGAACACUGAAUGUGUUGCUGUCAAACUAAGGAGUGUGAGCCAAGGUCUGACAAAUUAUCAGUGUGCACACAACAGUGAAGAUCACAUUAACUAUGACUGUUACCUUUCAGUAAAAAGCUAUUUGGCUCUCUGAAAGCUGUUACUGUGUUUUUCUUUCAAGACAGAGCUGUUAAUGUAUAGUAAUGCAUACUAAACCUCAGCAUUGAGGUUUCAUUACGGUGCUGGCAUGUUGCAGUCAGUAAGUGGGUUCUGGGUUGCACUUUGCCCACUUGGCCUAUGCUGUAUUUGACAUCAACAGAGGAUCCAGUGGAGAGAUGGCCCAGUCUCUUUCCCACAACAAGAUCCAGUUGCAAGAACCCCUAUACUGUUCACAAUAGUCCUGUAGGAAGUCUGCCUUACUGUGCUUUAACAUGGAUCCUUUUCAACACUGCCGCGCAGGAACUCACGGCAUUCUCCACCCUCAGGGUCUCUGUUGCGAUGAAACUGUAAAGUUACCCUGGAAACGUUACACAAUAAGAUAGGCUUCUUUUAAAGUCCAUAUUUGCUACACUUGGGUGAAUGUCUGGCGAAGGCUCCUGUGCUGAAGGCCUGGACCCUGGCACAGUGGCGUGGAGAGGUGGCUAACCACUUCCGGGAAGUCUUUGGCUGUUAGAAGUUGCCUGUAAAAGGGAUAGUGGGAGCUCAGGCCCUUCCUCAUCCUCUUUGUGUCCUGGCUUGUGACAUAAGCAGUUCAUCACACUCUCACUGUCCUUGGUCACCUUUACAAGAGACAAUGCUAUGGGGCCAUCUGAUUUUAGACUGCAAUCUUUAGCACUGGGAUCUAAAAUAAUCUUUUUCUUUUUCUUAGUUAACUGCCUAUUUUGUUAGAGUAAUGAAAGCUGAAUCAUCCAACACUGUACAUUUUGUAAUCCCUAAGACAAAAGUUGGAAUUGUACAAAGACGGGAAACUGUCAAUGAAAUGAACGUACAGAGAGGAAAUCACACGGAAGAUCCACGUGUCCAGAGUAUUGCUGAGUCAGGCUCUAGCUACCAUAUGGACUUAUGUGGACACAGCUCCUGACAUAAAAUCGAGAGUUGCUUUGUAUUCAUUGAUAAUGGAUAGACACAAGAGCAAUGUCAUUUUGGUUUAUUUUCAUUUGCUGUAGCAAAAUGCAGCCAAUGGAGGAACUUAUAAGUUCCAAGAAUCGAACACAGGGCCUCUCACACUCCAGAGGCAGCAGCUUUACUGCUGAGCUACAUCCCAGCCCACGUCAGCACUUCCUAAGCCUAUCUGUGACGUAGUACCCAGUCGCUGAGUUCCCCCUCCCCUCCUGCUCCUCUUCCCAGACUCUGGUACCUCCAGGUCUCCCUUCCAAAUAAGCGUCUACGGCUUUGCAUAUACACAGACUCAAGGGACAGAUACCUCUUGGUGACCAGCUGUCUGUCCAAAGGAAGCCCCUCUUGUCUAGGCCCAUCCAGCCACAGUGCUGCUGUGAAGAACCAGGGAAAAUACCAAAGAGCAAGCAAAGAAAGUUCAA